UAACGGCCCACCAAGGCGUUGAUGCCUACCGGGCGUGCGAGCGUGGCCCGGCACACUGGGACUGAUAUACUGACAAUACUCCUACGGGAGGCUGCAGUCGAGAAUCUUCGGCAAUGGGCGCAAGCCUGACCGAGCGACGCCUCGUGGAGGACGAAGGCCUUCGGGUUGUAAACUCCUGUCGAGGGGGAAGAAGGGCCGUCAAACGUCUUGACUGAUCCCUGGAGGAAGCACGGGCUAAGUUCGUGCCAGCAGCCGCGGUAAGACGAACCGUGCGAACGUUAUUCGGAAUCACUGUGCUUAAAGCGCGUGUAGGCGGGCCAGCACGUCCGGCGCUGAAAUCCCGCGGCUCAACCGGGGAACGGGCACCGAUACGACUGGCCUGGAGGGGAGUAGGGCGACCUGCUAACUUCCGGUGGAGCGGUGAAAUG
rnacentral:rRNA from 1 species